rnacentral:sRNA from 7 species
UGUAUCUGAAGUCUGACGAGGAUGAGAACCUCCGGGGGCAAGAGGUUCGACCCGAGCGAAGCGAGAGAACGUUGCGUCAGCAACGGCCCGCAGGGCGAGUCAUCCUCUAUCACUGGCAG